rnacentral:rRNA from 1 species
ACGUAGGGGGCGAGCGUUGUCCGGAAUCAUUGGGCGUAAAGCGCGUGUAGGCGGCUUGGCAAGUCUGGUGUGAAAGCUCGAGGCUCAACCUCGAGUCUGCACCGGAAACUGCCUUGCUAGAGUCCGGAAGAGGAGACUGGAAUUCCUGGUGUAGCGGUGAAAUUCGUAGAGAUCGGGAGGAAUAUCAGUGGCGAAGGCGCCCAUCUGGACGGUAACUGACGCUGAGACGCGAAAGCGUGGGGAGCAAACAG